rnacentral:rRNA from 1 species
GAUGAACGCUGGCGGCGUGCCUAAUACAUGCAAGUCGAGCGAACAGAUAAGGAGCUUGCUCCUUUGACGUUAGCGGCGGACGGGUGAGUAACACGUGGGUAACCUACCUAUAAGACUGGAAUAACUCCGGGAAACCGGGGCUAAUGCCGGAUAACAUUUAGAACCGCAUGGUUCUAAAGUGAAAGAUGGUUUUGCUAUCACUUAUAGAUGGACCCGCGCCGUAUUAGCUAGUUGGUAAGGUAACGGCUUACCAAGGCAACGAUACGUAGCCGACCUGAGAGGGUGAUCGGCCACACUGGAACUGAGACACGGUCCAGACUCCUACGGGAGGCAGCAGUAGGGAAUCUUCCGCAAUGGGCGAAAGCCUGACGGAGCAACGCCGCGUGAGUGACGAAGGUCUUCGGAUCGUAAAACUCUGUUAUUAGGGAAGAACAAAUGUGUAAGUAACUGUGCACGUCUUGACGGUACCUAAUCAGAAAGCCACGGCUAACUACGUG